rnacentral:lncRNA from 1 species
AGGCAAGGCCAAGGCUUCUUGAAAGGCUGGUCAUGCCCCAGUGAUCAAUGAAGAACUCAGGGAUAUCCCAAAACUCAGGACUAUAAGGCACAAUGGGGGAGCAGGUACCAGGUGGCCAGCAUCCUAAAUGACUCUCAGCAGCUGCAGAGAAGACCAUAAUGGAUGGAUAUAUAGGCUGACGUAUAUCAGUUGGCUUCAGUUGUUUGGUGAUAUUCACCAGAUCUAUAUUUUGCUAUUUUAUGGAUAUUAUUUUCAAUUUCUGAGGUAUAGAAUGCUGGGGCCCUUCCAUUACUCCAUGCACUGGGGAAGAACUAGAAUUGUGAGAAGAGCUUUCACGCUCCCAUAACCAUUCCUUGGCCCACCUCCAAGAAAAGGCAGGCUGGCCUCUGUUUAGGUGUUGUCUGUGCUUGCAUUCCCAACGUUGACAUGAGGAAUUAUCAAUGGGUUCCGGACAUAAUCAGCCACACGGCAGAGUGAAUUCCAGGAGUGUAAAUAACAAGAGCUGCCUAUAAAUCUACCUCAGAAGACAAAGGGAAAAGCAAAACUCUGCCCAGGAAGACCUUACUUUACAAACCAGGUGACCAAAUUUCUAAAACAUCAUUCCCGUAAUCCCUGAUCAACAGAAAGGAAGCUCUGGAAGCAUGAAUGGUCAGUACACACAUCGUCCACAGGACUCACACACCACAAACUAGUCAUUGAUCCUUUUGACCCAAUUUCAGAAAAUAUGUUUACAUAGAGACACAUAUUUUUGCUAUUUACUUUUUGAGCAACCAACAGGAAAACCUAUCCACAUAUGUCCAUUAUGAUCCUCUCUAAUGAAGACUAUCUCUUUAUGUUGUUUAAACAAAAAGAAAUUAAUGCAUGAGAAUGUCAAAGUUCUGAGCUUUAAGUUUCUGUACUCAAUAUAUUGAAUAAAAGAUAUAUGUAGUA